rnacentral:rRNA from 1 species
UACGUAGGGUGCGAGCGUUAAUCGGCAUUACUGGGCGUAAAGCGUGCGCAGGCGGUUAUAUAAGACAGAUGUGAAAUCCCCGGGCUCAACCUGGGCACUGCAUUUGUGACUGUAUAGCUAGAGUACGGUAGAGGGGGAUGGAAUUCCGCGUGUAGCAGUGAAAUGCGUAGAUAUGCGGAGGAACACCGAUGGCGAAGGCAAUCCCCUGGACCUGUACUGAAGCUCAUGCACGAAAGCGGGGGGAGCACACAGGAUUCGAUAACACCGUAGUCC